AUUGAACGCUGGCGGCAGGCCUAACACAUGCAAGUCGAACGGCGCGGCGGACGGGGAAGGAAGGCCUAGGAAUCUGCAUGGGCGUGGGGGAUAACGACAAGAAACGGGCGCUCAUGCCGCAUACUCUCAGAUCCGCAUAGGGCGGAUUAGCUAGAUGGUGGGGUAAGGGCAUACAAAGGCGACGAUCCCUAGCUGGUCUGAGAGGAUGAUCAGUCACACUGGAACUGAGACACGGUCCAGACUCCUACGGGAGGCAGCAGUGGGGAAUAUUGGACAAUGGGCGAAAGCCUGAUCCAGCCAUGCCGCGUGUGUGAAGAAGGUCUUCGGAUUGUAAAGCACUUUAAGUUGGGAGGCGUUACCAACAGAAGAAGCACCGGCUAACUUCGUGCCAGCCGCCGCGGUAAUUC
rnacentral:rRNA from 1 species